AGGUCGACUCCUCUACCUCUGCA
rnacentral:misc_RNA from 1 species